rnacentral:rRNA from 1 species
UACGUAGGGUGCAAGCGUUAAUCGGAAUUACUGGGCGUAAAGCGUGCGCAGGCGGUUUUGUAAGACAGUGGUGAAAUCCCCGGGCUCAACCUGGGAACUGCCAUUGUGACUGCAAGGCUAGAGUGCGGCAGAGGGGGAUGGAAUUCCGCGUGUAGCAGUGAAAUGCGUAGAUAUGCGGAGGAACACCGAUGGCGAAGGCAAUCCCCUGGGCCUGCACUGACGCUCAUGCACGAAAGCGUGGGGAGCAAACAGGAUUAGAUACCCUGGUAGUCAACGGCG